GCCUGCGUUUUACACAUCGAACCUGUUUAAAUCAGUCUAUUUUUUUUCUGGUCUUUAAUUGUUUGCUUUUUAUGCCGCCUCAGCAAUCUGGACACGGCGGCGAGGGAAACGAAAUCUAACUAAUUAAUUAUUGUGAGAAGGUUUUUAAUAGGGGUGUUAAAUCCAUGAAACAACUAUAGCUCUAACCAUACUGUUGGAAGAGUGUGUGUUUGUGUGUGUGUGUGUGGUUGCAGGGUUACUGUAGGAAGAGUGUGUGUGUGUGUGGUUGCAGGGUUACUGUAGGAAGUGUGUGUGUGUGGUUGCAGGGUUUGUUUUACAGUGUUUCUCUGUUUAAUGCUGACUGAGCUUCUUUUGAGGCCUCACCGACUCACCGUACAAAUGACUCUACCAUAUGAACAGUUGGAAGCUUGUCCAUCUUGUUUGCAAACUUUGGAUGUGGCCUAGAAUUGCAGUCCCUCAGGGUAAGGGUUGAACUGGCUCGUUCCUCGAGUAUAGCAUUCGUGAGUCUACUUGCGUGUUUGCCAUGUCUCUUCCUUAAGAGGUAAGUAGCUUGGAGCUCGAGGGAGUAGGGCGAAGUUGCCCCCUAGUUGCUGAUCUUGGGUCAAUGUUACAUUUCCCCCACUAAUGGUUAUUUGUUAGGAUUGGGGCAGGCAAAGAUGAUACUAGAUCUGUACCUAAGGGAAACCUGCUUGCUUGUAUGUUAAAGUGCUUUGAGUAUAACAUUGGGGGGGGCCUAUUUGCAUGUUGAGCUUAUUGGUUGAGUUCAGUCUAACACGGCAUCGGUCUGUGUCUAGGGGAAACUUCACCCUGGAGCGAUGUGGAAUAACAGUCUCACAGCAUCGGUCUGUGUCUAGGAGAAACUUCACCCUGGAGCGAUGUGGAAUAACAGUCUCACAGCAUCGGUCUGUGUCUAGGAGAAACUUCACACUGGAGCGAUGUGGAAUAACAGUCUCACAGCAUCGGUCUGUGUCUAGGAGAAACUUCACCCUGGAGCGAUGUGGAAUAACAGUCUCACAGCAUCGGUCUGUGUCUAGGAGAAACUUCACCCUGGAGCGAGGUGGAAUAACAGUCUCACAGCAUCGGUCUGUGUCUAGGAGAAACUUCACCCUGGAGCGAUGUGGAAUAACAGUUUCACAGCAUCGGUCUGUGUCUAGGAGAAACUUCACCUGGAGCGAUGUGGAAUAACAGUCUCACAGCAUCGGCUUUGGUUGAUAGUGGUGGUUUAUUGGGUUAUUAGUAUGGGGGUUGGUUGUGGAAAGUUAUGUGUUGUUGAGCUGUUAUUAGUGUUGUUGAGCUGUUAUUAGUGUUGUUGAGCUGUUAUUAGUGUUGUUGAGCUGUUAUUAGUGUUGUUGAGCUGUGGUGUGUUGUUAGUGUUGUUGAGCUGUGGUGUGUUGUUAGUGUUGUUGAGGUGUUAUUAGUGCUGUUGAGCUGUUAUUAGUGUUGUUGAGCUGUGGUGGGUUAUUAAUGUUGUUGAGGUGUUAUUAGUGUUGUUGAGCUGUGGUGGGUUAUUAGUGUUGUUGAGCUGUUAUUAGUGCUGUUGAGCUGUUAUUAGUGUUGUUGAGCUGUUAUUUGUGUUGUUGAGCUGUGGUGUGUUGUUAGUGUUGUUGAGCUGUUAUUAGUGUUGUUGAGCUGUUAUUAGUGUUGUUGUGCUGUUAUUAGUGUUGUUGAGCUGUUAUUAGUGUUGUUGAGCUGUCAUUAGUGUUGUUGAGCUGUUAUUAGUGUUGUUGAGCUGUGGUAGGUCAUUAGUGUUGUUGAGCUGUCAUUAGUGUUGUUGAGCUGUCAUUAGUGUUGUUGAGCUGUGGUGGGUCAUUAGUGUUGUUGAGCUGUGGUAGGUCAUUAGUGUUGUUGAGCUGUUAUUAGUGUUGUUGAGCUGUUAUUAGUGUUGUUGAGCUGUGGUGGGUCAUUAGUGUUGUUGAGCUGUUAUUAGUGUUGUUGAGCUGUGGUAGGUCAUUAGUGUUGUUGAGCUGUUAUUAGUGUUGUUGAGCUGUGGUAGGUCAUUAGUGUUGUUGAGCUGUUAUUAGUGUUGUUGAGCUGUGGUGGGUCAUUAGUGUUGUUGAGCUGUUAUUAGUGUUGUUGAGCUGUGGUGGGUCAUUAGUGUUGUUGAGCUGUUAUUAGUGUUGUUGAGCUGUGGUAGGUCAUUAGUGUUGUUGAGCUGUCAUUAGUGUUGUUGAGCUGUCAUUAGUGUUGUUGAGCUGUGGUGGGUCAUUAGUGUUGUUGAGCUGUGGUAGGUCAUUAGUGUUGUUGAGCUGUUAUUAGUGUUGUUGAGCUGUGGUAGGUCAUUAGUGUUGUUGAGCUGUUAUUAGUGUUGUUGAGCUGUGGUGGGUCAUUAGUGUUGUUGAGCUGUUAUUAGUGUUGUUGAGCUGUGGUGGGUCAUUAGUGUUGUUGAGCUGUUAUUAGUGUUGUUGAGCUGUGGUAGGUCAUUAGUGUUGUUGAGCUGUCAUUAGUGUUGUUGAGCUGUCAUUAGUGUUGUUGAGCUGUGGUGGGUCAUUAGUGUUGUUGAGCUGUGGUAGGUCAUUAGUGUUGUUGAGCUGUUAUUAGUGUUGUUGAGCUGUUAUUAGUGUUGUUGAGCUGUUAUUAGUGUUGUUGAGCUGUGGUGGGUCAUUAGUGUUGUUGAGCUGUUAUUAGUGUUGUUGAGCUGUUAUUAGUGUUGUUGAGCUGUGGUAGGUCAUUAGUGUUGUUGAGCUGUUAUUAGUGUUGUUGAGCUGUGGUAGGUCAUUAGUGUUGUUGAGCUGUUAUUAGUGUUGUUGAGCUGUGGUAGGUCAUUAGUGUUGUUGAGCUGUUAUUAGUGUUGUUGAGCUGUUAUUAGUGUUGUUGAGCUGUGGUGGGUCAUUAGUGUUGUUGAGCUGUUAUUAGUGUUGUUGAGCUGUUAUUAGUGUUGUUGAGCUGUGGUAGGUCAUUAGUGUUGUUGAGCUGUUAUUAGUGUUGUUGAGCUGUGGUAGGUCAUUAGUGUUGUUGAGCUGUUAUUAGUGUUGUUGAGCUGUGGUAGGUCAUUAGUGUUGUUGAGCUGUUAUUAGUGUUGUUGAGCUGUGGUAGGUCAUUAGUGUUGUUGAGCUGUUAUUAGUGUUGUUGAGCUGUGGUGGGUCAUUAGUGUUGUUGAGCUGUUAUUAGUGUUGUUGAGCUGUGGUGGGUCAUUAGUGUUGUUGAGCUGUCAUUAGUGUUGUUGAGCUGUGGUGGGUCAUUAGUGUUGUUGAGCUGUGGUAGGUCAUUAGUGUUGUUGAGCUGUGGUAGGUCAUUAGUGUUGUUGAGCUGUUAUUAGUGUUGUUGAGCUGUUAUUAGUGUUGUUGAGCUGUGGUAGGUCAUUAGUGUUGUUGAGCUGUGGUGGGUCAUUAGUGUUGUUGAGCUGUUAUUAGUGUUGUUGAGCUGUGGUAGGUCAUUAGUGUUGUUGAGCUGUUAUUAGUGUUGUUGAGCUGUGGUAGGUCAUUAGUGUUGUUGAGCUGUGGUAGGUCAUUAGUGUUGUUGAGCUGUUAUUAGUGUUGUUGAGCUGUGGUAGGUCAUUAGUGUUGUUGAGCUGUGGUGGGUCAUUAGUGUUGUUGAGCUGUGGUAGGUCAUUAGUGUUGUUGAGCUGUUAUUAGUGUUGUUGAGCUGUGGUAGGUCAUUAGUGUUGUUGAGCUGUGGUGGGUCAUUAGUGUUGUUGAGCUGUGGUAGGUCAUUAGUGUUGUUGAGCUGUUAUUAGUGUUGUUGAGCUGUUAUUAGUGUUGUUGAGCUGUGGUAGGUCAUUAGUGUUGUUGAGCUGUUAUUAGUGUUGUUGAGCUGUGGUAGGUCUAUCUCCUGUAGUACAUUUUUGCUGUUUUAUUGAACUAUCAUCUUUAGAGAUGUUUGUUCUCAGGACUCCAUUGUGAAUGAGACACUGGUCUCAACUGGGAUCCCGUGAAUAAAUAUAAAGUUCAGUAAAAAAUGAAUCUAUAAGUACUAUCUAUCAGUACUAUCUAUCAGUACUAUCCAUCUAUCGGUACUAUCUAUCAGUACUAUCAAUCUAUCAGUACUAUCUAUCAAUCUAUCGGUACUGUCAAUCUAUCAGUACUAUCAAUCCAUCGGUACUAUCUAUCAGUACUAUCAAUCUAUCGGUACUAUCUAUCAGUACUAUCAAUCCAUCGGUACUAUCUAUCAGUACUAUCAAUCUAUCAGUACUAUCAACCUAUCAGUACUAUCAACCUAUCAGUACUAUCAACCUAUCAGUACUAUCAAUCUAUCAGUACUAUCUAUCUAUCAGUACUAUCAGGGGAAACUUCACUCUGGAGCGAGGUGCAAUAAUAGUCUCACAGCAUCAUCAGCAAAUCGUCGUCGUGGGAACAGAGGGGUGUGGAGUUGGCACGGGGGUCUGGGGUCAUGGUGAGGGUUGGGCGAGACAUCUUAGAGGGAGGAGGGGCCGAGGGGAGGGGCGCCACGGUGGCCCUGACUCUCCUGUUACCCCCCUGGAACUGACGACCCUGCUGC